CAGCAGAUCUCUGGACAUUCCACUUUACCAAAAAGAAGCCCUAGGCAGGAAAAAAUAAAAUUCACUAAGUAUUUACUAGUGCCACCAUAUUCUAGGCCCCAUCUUUGGCAUCUUUCAUAGCAAGUAUAUUCUUGACUGAAAAGCAUUCUUUUUCUUUUUUUUUAAGAUUUAUUUAUCUAUUCAUGAGAGACACACAGAGAGAGAGGCAGAGACACAGGAAGAGGGAGAAGCAGGCUCCAUGCGGGGAGCCCAUACAGAAUGAUCCCAGGACCCUGGAUCACGACUGGACUGGAAGGUGUAAUCGAAGGAGGAAAAGGCAAAGCGUCUGUGGGCACUGGGCAUGGCCCACAAAGUCUGGGAAAAGGAGAGGGAAUUAUUGACAAGUCAAGAAAGGAAGAUUGAAAUUGAAAUUAAUACCUAAAUGUAGAAGCAUGAUGAACUGCCUGUCGGUGCAUAAUACAGUUUCUUGUAAGGAAUUCAAGAUAAGUACUCUGUAACUUAAAUUCUCCCUUCACUCCAAAGCAGUCCCUAUUCGUCAAAAUCUAACAAAAUGAACCUUGGACUCCCUAACUGAUCUCUUGUCCUUGAGAGAAAAUAUCAUUUGGCCUAGGGGACAUCCCUGGAUGGCUCAGUGGUUUAGCACCUGCCUUCGGCCCAGGG